GAUGAAGAACGUAGCGAAAUGCGAUACGUAAUGUGAAUUGCAGAAUUCAGUGAAUCAUCGAAUCAUUGAACGCAUAUUGCGCUCUCUGGUAUUCCGGAGAGCAUGCUUGUUUGAGUAUCAGUAAACACCUCAACUUCCAUAUCUUUUUUGAAAUGGGAGUUGGACUUGAGUGAUCCCAACGCUUUUCCUCACCGAAAAGUGGCGGGUUACUUGAAAUGCAGGUGCAGCUGGACUUUUCUCUGAGCUAUAAGCAUAUCUAUUUAGUCUGCCUAAAAAACAGAUUAUUACCUUUGCUGCAGCUAACAUAAAGGAGAUUAGUUCUUGUGCUGACUGAUGCAGGAUUCACAAAGACAGGCUUCGGCCGACUUUGUAAACUCGAUCUCAAAUCAAGUAAGACUACCCGCUGAACUUAAGCAUAUCAAUAAGCGGAGGA
rnacentral:misc_RNA from 1 species